AGCGAACGCUGGCGGCAGGCCUAACACAUGCAAGUCGAACGGACCCUUCGGGGUUAGUGGCGGACGGGUGAGUAACACGUGGGAACGUGCCUUUAGGUUCGGAAUAGCUCCUGGAAACGGGUGGUAAUGCCGAAUGUGCCCUUCGGGGGAAAGAUUUAUCGCCUUUAGAGCGGCCCGCGUCUGAUUAGCUAGUUGGUGGGGUAAUGGCCCACCAAGGCUACGAUCAGUAGCUGGUCUGAGAGGAUGACCAGCCACAUUGGGACUGAGACACGGCCCAAACUCCUACGGGAGGCAGCAGUGGGGAAUCUUGCGCAAUGGGCGAAAGCCUGACGCAGCCAUGCCGCGUGUAUGAUGAAGGUCUUAGGAUUGUAAAAUACUUUCACCGGUGAAGAUAAUGACUGUAGCCGGAGAAGAAGCCCCGGCUAACUUCGUGCCAGCAGCCGCGGUAAUACGAAGGGGGCUAGCGUUGCUCGGAAUUACUGGGCGUAAAGGGAGCGUAGGCGGACAUUUAAGUCAGAGGUGAAAUCCCGGAGCUUAACUUCGGAACUGCCUUUGAUACUGGGUGUCUUGAGUGUGAGAGAGGUAUGUGGAACUCCGAGUGUAGAGGUGAAAUUCGUAGAUAUUCGGAAGAACACCAGUGGCGAAGGCGACAUACUGGCUCAUUACUGACGCUGAGGCUCGAAAGCGUGGGGAGCAAACAGGAUUAGAUACCCUGGUAGUCCACGCCGUAAACGAUGAUUGCUAGUUGUCGGGAAGCUUGCUUCUCGGUGACGCAGCUAACGCAUUAAGCAAUCCGCCUGGGGAGUACGGUCGCAGAUUA
rnacentral:rRNA from 1 species